UCUGUCUCUGCUGCCAAAUACUUUGAAAGUGUUGGAAUAAAUAAAACUCUCUCCUACCGUCUUGGUAGUGUUAGAAAGGAAGGCAUUACUUUCUUUCUGGCCCAAGGUGUGUGUGUGAAAGACUGAAAGAAUCCCAGUCCCCCACAGGCACCAAUAAUAUCUUUCACCUGCUUUUAUCUUUUAGAAAGCAAAGAGAUAAUUGGUCAUUGGUUCUAAAAUACAAAAUUCUCUUUUCUGAGUUCCUAUUCUACCUUCUUUUGGCUAUUAAUUUCUCCUUUUCUAUAACAAUUAGUCCAUAUCUGUAGUCUUUUUAGUGUCUUUUGCCCUCUGGUGGGUUUUUUCAAGCUCAAAUACUAAGCCUUUUUUCUUAUUAUUAUUUGUUUGGGUUUUUUUAUAAAUGUCCUUCCAGAUGUCCAAGUUCAACAAUAUAUUUUUCUUUCCUAGGCUUUGCUCAUUGAAGCAUAUCAAGCUAAAGAAAAGAAAUUGCAUGGACAUAGGAAGAGGAGGUGUCUGUCAGAGCAGAGCUCUGCCCCAUCCCAGGCACAAGGAAAAACUGCCAGGUUGGCAUAAAAACAAGGUUAUGGUUGCUUUCAGUCUCUCUGAGGCGAGUUUCACUUCUAGGAUACUCUUUCAUCAAUGUACUGAAUAUCUCAAUUUCCACAACCCUUUCUCAUUAGGAAUCAGAAGGAAACUCCCUCUCAUCAGAAAACGGAGAAUUAAAUUGGAAAUCAUAACAGUGUGGGUUAACUUUAUGGGUUUUUUUAAUUGAAAAUCUUUUAACAAGAGAUUACAAUGUUCUAAGUUUUAUAAUAUGCAUGAUAUGUUUUAGCUAUCUCCUUUUAAUGCAAAACCACAAAAUACUGACUAAAUGCAAACAUGGUGUUUAUGUCCCUCAGCUGUUGUUACUGGCAGUGUCUGAAUUUCCUUAUUAAGUCUCCUGUGCCUUUAUUUGGCUUUUUG